CGAACGCUGGCGGCGUGCUUAACACAUGCAAGUCGAACGGAAAGGCCCUGCUUUUGUGGGGUGCUCGAGUGGCGAACGGGUGAGUAACACGUGAGUAACCUGCCCUUGACUUUGGGAUAACUUCAGGAAACUGGGGCUAAUACCGGAUAGGAGCUCCUGCUGCAUGGUGGGGGUUGGAAAGUUUCGGCGGUUGGGGAUGGACUCGCGGCUUAUCAGCUUGUUGGUGGGGUAGUGGCUUACCAAGGCUUUGACGGGUAGCCGGCCUGAGAGGGUGACCGGCCACAUUGGGACUGAGAUACGGCCCAGACUCCUACGGGAGGCAGCAGUGGGGAAUAUUGCACAAUGGGCGGAAGCCUGAUGCAGCAACGCCGCGUGCGGGAUGACGGCCUUCGGGUUGUAAACCGCUUUCGCCUGUGACGAAG
rnacentral:rRNA from 1 species